rnacentral:misc_RNA from 1 species
GAUGAAGAACGUAGCGAAAUGCGAUACUUGGUGUGAAUUGCAGAAUCCCGUGAACCAUCGAGUCUUUGAACGCAAGUUGCGCCCGAAGCCAUUAGGCCGAGGGCACGCCUGCCUGGGCGUCACACGUCGUUGCCCCCCCAUCUACUCCUUCGGGAUUGCGGGGGGCGGAUGAUGGCCUCUCGUGCGCCUCGUCGCGCGGUUGGCCUAAAUGCCAAGUCCUCGGCGACGCACGCCACGACAAUCGGUGGUUGCGAAACCUCGGUUGCCUGUCGUGUGCGGUCGUCGCGCAUCGAGGGCUCGAAAAAAUUGCCGGGCCUCGGCUCGACUUUCAACGCGACCCCAGGUCAGGCGGGGUUACCCGCUGAAUUUAAGCAUAUCAAUAAGCGGAGGA